UAGUCCACGCUGUAAACGAUGGAUACUAGGUGUUCGGAGUAGUUAACCCUCUGAGUACCAAAGCUCACGCAUUAAGUAUCCCGCCUGGGGAGUACGGUCGCAAGGCUAAAACUCAAAGGAAUUAACGGGGGCCCGCACAAGCGGUGGAGUAUGUGGUUUAAUUCGAAGCAACGCGCAGAACCUUACCUGGGCUUAACAUUCAGUGCUAUUCUAAGAGAUUAGAAGUUCCCUUCGGGGACAUUGGGAUAGGUGCUGCAUGGCUGUCGUCAGCUCGUGUCGUAGGAUGUUGGGUUAAGUCUCGCAACGAGCGCAACCCCUACCCUUAGUUACCAGCAUUAAGUUGGGGACUCUAGGGGGACUGCCGGUGUUAAGCCGGAGGAAGGCGGGGAUGGACGUCAAGUCCUCAUGGGCCCUUAUGCCCCAGGGGCUACACACGUACUACAAUGGCAGAAACAAACCGUCGCGAAACUGUGAAGUGGAGCUAAUCGGAAAAAC
rnacentral:rRNA from 1 species